GUGGGGAAUCUUCCGCAAUGGACGAAAGUCUGACGGAGCGACGCCGCGUGAGUGAAGAAGGCCUUCGGGUCGUAAAGCUCUGUCAUCAGGGACGAACGGCCGGUGGAGUGGAAAGCCACCGGAUUGACGGUACCUGAGAAGGAAGCCACGGCUAACUACGUGCCAGCAGCCGCGGUAAUACGUAGGUGGCAAGCGUUGUCCGGAAUUAUUGGGCGUAAAGCGCGCGCAGGUGGGAUCUUAAGUCCAUUUUUAAAGUUCGGAGCUCAACUCCGUGAUGGGAUGGAAACUGGGAUUCUUGAGUACCGGAGAGGAAAGCGGAAUUCCCCGUGUAGCGGUGAAAUGCGUAGAUAUGGGGAGGAACACCAGUGGCGAAGGCGGCUUUCUGGACGAAAACUGACGCUGAGGCGCGAAAGCCAGGGGAGCGAACGGGAUUAGAAACCCCAGUAGUCC
rnacentral:rRNA from 1 species